rnacentral:rRNA from 1 species
GUGACCCCAGGUCAGGCAGGAACACCCGCUGAGUUUAA